AUUGAACGCUGGCGGCAGGCUUAACACAUGCAAGUCGAGCGAGCGGCGGACGGGUGAGUAAUGUCUGGGCAACUGCCUGAUGGAGGGGGAUAACUACUGGAAACGGUAGCUAAUAACGCAUACCCUCCGCUGUGCCCAUAUGGGAUUAGCUCGUAGGUGGGGUAAUGGCUCACCUAGGCUACGAUCGCUAGCUGGUCUGCGAGGAUGACCAGCAACACUGGAACUGAGACACGGUCCAGACUCCUACGGGAGGCAGAAGUGGGGAAUAGUGAAAAAGGGGCGCAAGCCUGAUGCAGCAAUGCGGAGUGUGUGAAGAAGGCCUUCGGGUGGUAAAGCACUUUCAGCGAGGAGGCGUUACUCGAAGAAGAAGCACCGGCUAACUCCGUGCCAGCAGCCGCGGUAAUUC
rnacentral:rRNA from 1 species